UUCUGUGAGUUGUAUCAAUACGAAGUGGUUUGGAAGUCCUGGAAUGAAGUGCCAACAGUUGCAGCUGACAGGGAGAGGUGGAAGCGCUCUGUGAAGGCCUUGUGCCAAAGGCACAAAGCAGAUAGGUAACAGUGUAUCUCCGCUUCACUUUGAGUAAAGGAUACAAUAAACCAGAGAUGAAACGACCUGCUUGAUCCAUCCUGAUGCCCUAUGUCUGGCUGGAGUCUCAUCACAUCGCUCCUGUGGAGGACGGCCCCAUGUGGACAGUUGAAAGUCACACUUGGAAGAUGCUCUGAACACUUACAGUAAUGCUUUUAUGGCUGAGGACUACAGUUGACUUGCUAACUUUAGGACUGCAGUUUUGCACUCAAGUUUACAUCAAUGAAGAGUUAUAACAUCAACAAAACAGACUUCAUGUUAAAACUGUUAAAAAUGUUAUAAUCACGUUGGCUGUUAUCACCCAAAUGAGUAAGGGUUCCCUUUUGAGGUUUCUUCCUCAUG